GGAAAUGUACUUUUUUUUUUUACUCUUUGUACUGUUGGUAGCAUUUCAGUACUUGAGGGCAUGAUAAACCAGCAAUCUUGCAUGUAUUCUGUAACCACAAUAAAACGAACAAAAUGGAUUUUCAUUUGUCUGAAUGUGGGCUUGAGCUUGUUAGUUGUACUAAUUACUCCAAACAGCAAAUUGGAUCUUUUAAGCCUGAGGGGUGUAUUCACUAUGACCUCCCCGUGUGCUUGAGCUCAGUAGUCCUGGGAGGUAUUUAGGAGGUAAACAUGUUGACUGCACCUCCACCCCGCAAUGCUACCAUCCAUUUACUUUCCCACAUGUGCAAUUAACGAGCCACUAGCUAAUUUGGGGUCUGUGCAUAUAUGCAAAUGAAAGACAAACAAAAGGAACGGGUGAUGGAUGACAAGAAAGGGGGCUUUGAAAGGGCUCGCAUAGGACACUUAGCACUGCAACACUAAUUAAAAAGCCAUGGCACUGAGAGCAUGAAGGUAACUCAUUAGCUGCAACCUGCUUCUGUGCCCCAUGUUGCACUGAGUGCUAAUGCUAGCUAGCUGUGAAAGAAGGAAAGCCACAUAAAGAAAAAGGAGAAAAACAGUAAGAGAAUGAUAGACAUGGGCAUUGUGGUGCACUGAGGUGUCCAUGUGGGCAUAUAAGCCAAGCCAAAUGAGCUUGGUUGCAAUAGCCUUCCUGUGCUAUUGCCCAUUAGUUUAGUGCAGGGGGUUGCAAGCUGAAGAAAGGUUACCAUAAGCAUGGCAAUUAGAGCUAUAAUAGGAUAAACAACAACCUGGCCAAUGGGGGGAGUGAAGCAGAACACAGAAUGAUUACAGAAGCUUCCUUUUACAAAACCCCUGCCGUCUUAUCUGGGAGACCCCACGACCCCACAGUCAUUGCAGCAGCCAGUAGGAGAGAAUGGAGACCACGGCUCCCUCGGGAGGAGGACAACAGGACCAAGGUGUGCGUCCGUGUACGUGUGUGUGUGUGUGUGUGUGUGUGUGUGUUCAGCAGCAUUAAAGCAGUCUAUUUGCAGUCCAACUGUCUAAACACUUGUGAUAACAUACAGUGCAGCAGCAGUAGAACAUAGUACUCCAGGGACAGUGCUGUUACUGCUCAACACAGAGUGAGAAAAAAAUCCUGGGGCUGAAAGUAACAGUUACUUUUAUUCCCGAUUACUGAUUAUUGAUUAUUUCUCAUUCGAUAAUUGAUUAAUUUAUCUUCACAAUGUCUCAAGAUAACAGUCUUAAGACUAGAGACCAAAAUGUUCCAAACCCACUGAAAUCAAACUUUCACUAACACAAAACAACACAUAAUCUUAGUGAUAAAACAACCAAUGUGAAUGUGAAACUAACAUAACAUAACACACUAACAUAGACCCACA
rnacentral:lncRNA from 1 species